rnacentral:rRNA from 1 species
AGCAGCCGCGGUAAUUCCAGCUCCAAUAGCGUAUAUUAAAGUUGUUGCAGUUAAAAAGCUCGUAGUUGAAUUUCAGGCCUGGCUGGACGGUCCGCCCUUCGGGUGAGUACUGUCUGUGGUCGGGUCCUACCUUCUGGCGAAGCGUCAUGGCCCUAACCGGCCGUGGCGGGGAACCAGGACUUUUACUGUGAAAAAAUUAGAGUGUUCAAAGCAGGCAAUCGCUUGGAUACAUUAGCAUGGAAUAAUGGAAUAGGACAAUGGUUCUAUUUGUUGGUUUCUAGGACCGUUGUAAUGAUUAAUAGGGAUAGUUGGGGGCAUUAGUAUUCAAUUGUCAGAGGUGAAAUUCUUGGAUUUAUUGAAGACUAACUACUGCGAAAGCAUUUGCCAAGGAUGUUUUCAUUAAUCAAGAACGAAAGUUAGGGGAUCGAAGACGAUCAGAUACCGUCGUAGUCUUAACCAUAAACUAUGCCGACUAGGAAUCGGGCGAUGUUGAAAAAAUGACGC